ACGGAAGGCAGCAGUGGGGAAUAUUGCACAAUGGGGGAAACCCUGAUGCAGCGACGCCGCGUGAAGGAAGAAGUAUCUCGGUAUGUAAACUUCUAUCAGCAGGGAAGAAAAUGACGGUACCUGACUAAGAAGCCCCGGCUAACUACGUGCCAGCAGCCGCGGUAGUACGUAGGGGGCAAGCGUUAUCCGGAUUUACUGGGUGUAAAGGGAGCGUAGACGGCAUCGUAAGUCUGAUGUGAAAGGCAGGGGCUCAACUCCUGGACUGCAUUGGAAACUACGAAGCUUGAGUGCCGGAGGGGUAAGCGGAAUUCCUAGUGUAGCGGUGAAAUGCGUAGAUAUUAGGAGGAACACCAGUGGCGAAGGCGGCUUACUGGACGGUAACUGACGUUGAGGCUCGAAAGCGUGGGGAGCAAACAGGAUUAGAUACCCUGGUA
rnacentral:rRNA from 1 species